AACGAACGCUGGCGGCAGGCCUAACACAUGCAAGUCGAACGCUCCAGCAAUGGAGAGUGGCAGACGGGUGAGUAACACGUGGGAACCUUCCCUAUGGUUCGGAAUAGCUCAGGGAAACUUGGGGUAAUACCGGAUAAGCCCUUCGGGGGAAAGAUUAUCGCCAUUGGAUGGGCCCGCGUCGGAUUAGCUAGUUGGUGAGGUAACGGCUCACCAAGGCAACGAUCCGUAGCUGGUCUGAGAGGAUGAUCAGCCACACUGGGACUGAGACACGGCCCAGACUCCUACGGGAGGCAGCAGUGGGG
rnacentral:rRNA from 1 species